rnacentral:rRNA from 1 species
GACGAACGCUGGCGGCGUGCUUAACACAUGCAAGUCGAGCGGAAAGGCCCUUCGGGGUACUCGAGCGGCGAACGGGUGAGUAACACGUGAGUAACCUGCCCCAGACUUUGGGAUAACCCUCGGAAACGGGGGCUAAUACCGGAUACGACACAGCUUCGCAUGGGGUCUGUGUGGAAAGUUUUUCGGUUUGGGAUGGGCUCGCGGCCUAUCAGCUUGUUGGUGGGGUGAUGGCCUACCAAGGCGACGACGGGUAGCCGGCCUGAGAGGGCGACCGGCCACACUGGGACUGAGACACGGCCCAGACUCCUACGGGAGGCAGCAGUGGGGAAUAUUGCACAAUGGGCGGAAGCCUGAUGCAGCGACGCCGCGUGGGGGAUGACGGCCUUCGGGUUGUAAACCUCUUUCCGCAGGGACGAAGCGUAAGUGACGGUACCUGCAGAAGAAGCGCCGGCCAACUACGUG